rnacentral:lncRNA from 1 species
AUCAUUUUUGAAACUGCUCUUAAACCAUGAGUAAUCUUGAAAAGUGUUCAACAUGGAGAAAGUGUGAAUAGUCCAUAGCUAUCCAACAGUGUAUUAUGUGUCUCAUUCUGACAAAUGUUUUAGAAACUGGAGCAAAAACAGUACCAAAAUAACGUGUGUAGUUAUUAGCAUAAUAGUUAUUCUGCCAACACUUACGAACCUUCGCCGGAAGCUAAAAGA